AAGCCAGCCAGUGAGUCCGCUUACCUAAAUGUGUAUAUGCAGAGAUUUAGAUAAAGCUGGCAAAGAUAGAGCCAUGACACAAGCCUUAAGGACAAACAAGGUCAUUUAAGGCCCCUGAGAAUGGCUACAACA